GGAUCGAUGAUGACACCCACAAACGCAUUCCUUGGAAAUCUGAACAAAAUGAGUGAGAACUCACUACCGUCUCCUGCAUCGCAAACUGAGUCC
rnacentral:snoRNA from 1 species